rnacentral:rRNA from 1 species
CCUACGGGAGGCAGCAGUAAGGAAUAUUGGUCAAUGGACGAAACUCUGAACCAGCCAUCCCGCGCUGCAGGAAGAAGGGGCUCUGCCUUGUAAACUGCUUUUGAAUGGGACGAAAGAGCUAUAUGCGUAUAGUGUUGACGGUACCAUUAGAAUAAGCACCGGCUAACUCCGUGCCAGCAGCCGCGGUAAUACGGAGGGUGCGAGCGUUAUCCGGAAUUACUGGGUUUAAAGGGUGCGUAGGCGGUGAUAUAAGUCAGUGGUGAAAGGCCGUAGCUUAACUAUGGGACUGCCAUUGAUACUGUAUGACCUUGAAUCAGGAUGAGGUUGGCGGAAUGUGGCAUGUAGCGGUGAAAUGCUUAGAUAUGCCAUAGAACACCGAUUGCGAAGGCAGCUGACUGGACCUAGAUUGACGCUGAGGCACGAAAGCGUGGGGAGCGAACAGGAUUAGAUAUCCCUGGUAGUCCACGCCCUAAACGAUGCUUACUGGUUGUUUGGUUGAAAGACUUGAGUGACUAAGCGAAAGCGAUAAGUAAGCCACCUGGGGAGUACGACCGCAAGGUUGAAACUCAAAGGAAUUGACGG